AGGGUGGAAUGGGGAAAACUGCCUGAUCUCACCCUUCUCUCCCCCUCUGAUCUACUGCUAGUCCUUCCUGCUGGCCAAACCCAACCGGAUGGAAGUCAAAAGACCAGGGGUCCCGCAGAGGUAGCACACACGUGUCAACAUGGCAGCAACUCAGAACACGCACCAAUGUGGAGAAGGAUGGGACACAUUCCGGGAGUGCCAGUAGAAAUAUCCGUAUGCCAUGGAAACUAGGGCCUGAGGAAGUGCGUGUAAACCCUCAUGAUGCACCAUCUGCUGGAUCAGCAAGAUUAUGCUACAACCAGUCAUAUCCAACCACAUGCUGGAACUUUGAACUCACCUCAUCUGUGUGGCCAACUGUGGACCUGCAGACAACAUCGGAACACAAGAUUCCAGGACAAGUCUCAUGUGAAGACAAAGGAAAUACCCAGAUUGUAAAUAGGGUGAGUGUGCAGGCCCUUCUCGAGGUGCCCCUGGAACAGGCCCCUGAGGGACAUAUAUCAUGGCUGGAACCUAAUGCCUGGAGCCCUGUCUCAAAGCACAUCAUGGCUUCCAUCACUCUUUUGAUCUCUUUUAAUCACAAUCCCCAGCUCUCUGCGCCCUCUGCAAUCAGCCCAGCUUCCUCUAUUAUGGACAGAUCUGUGCACCCAGAUAUGCCCAGGACUUCUCACUGA
rnacentral:lncRNA from 1 species